UCUGUUAAUACAUUAUUUCUAAUUUAGUUACAGCAUGUCAAACAGUGUUGUUAAGGUUACUGAAUUGCCAACAAAUGAGGGUUUAUUUGUUCUUAAAGGAAAAGACGGAGUUAUAAUGCCAGAUCGAGAAACAUUAGAAAAAUAUUUGAGUGGACGAAAACAAGAAACUGAAAUAAACUUAAUUUGUAUUAAUGAGGCUUAUGGAAACAAUAUUGAGGCAACAAUGGAGCCUCUUAUUUAUGAUCCUAAUAACACUGAAGAUAUGCUAGAAG